UACGGAGGGGGCGAGUGUUGUUCGGAAUUACUGGGCGUAAAGGGCGCGCAGGCGGCCUGGCAAGUCGAGUGUGAAAUCCCUUGGCUUAACUGAGGAACGGCGCUCGAAACUACCUCGCUGGAGGGCGGGAGAGGGAAGUGGAACUCUCGGUGUAGGGGUGAAAUCUGUAGAUAUCGAGAGGAACACCGGUGGCGAAGGCGGCUUCCUGGCCCGUACCUGACGCUGAGGCGCGAAAGCGUGGGGAGCAAACAGG
rnacentral:rRNA from 1 species